ensembl:lncRNA
AUGUGCACAGCACAGAUGUUGCAGGACAUGGAUCAGCGGCUGCAGGAGGAAGGGUUGGACUCCUCGGCCUCCAGCGAUGAGCGUCUGUCUCUGCUGUGGCAGCUUUACAGGAGCAGCGAAAGUACCGUGAGAUCCCUCAACCAGCAGAUACAAGAUCUGCAGAAAGAACGUGUUGCUGAGAUUGAAAAUGUUCAGCAAUAUGUUAAUCAAAUUAAGAGUCUCACAAAGACCCGAGAUUCUGUGGCUUUACAUCUUGAGCAAGAAAACAAAACGCUCCAUGCUACUCUGGAUGACAUCUACCGACAACAAGAAGCACAGAGGAGUGAGAUCUCUGAGAUGCUACUUCAGGAAGGUCUGGCUGAUAUUAUUCCCAUCAGCCUGAGUGAACAGGUGGCGUACCUCCUCGCAGACAGAGCCUCCCUGCUGGAGAAAACACAAAGCCAGGAGAAUGUGGAUGGGAAGACCGCACAGGAGCCUGAUGUCCGUAAGGAGCAAACGUCAAAGGAGUGUAGAGAGAAUGUGGUCAAAAAGGUGGCACCACCAGACAUUCAGAGCCCUUGGAAGAGGCUUCUAGGACUCAGAAAGGCUGCUCAGAGUGAACAGAAAUUACUGCCUACGGUUGACCUGCAGUUCAGCAGGGAUGACACACUGAAGGGACGAACAUUGCAGGAACUGGAGCGAGAUGUAGAAGAGGCCUCUGCUCGACUCGCCAUGGCCCACAAGGAGAUCCGCAGACUCACGGAUGAGCUGGAGUCUGCUCACCUGACCCAAAAGGCUUAUGAACCAGAGCUGCAAGAAGCUCAAAUGGAAGUCGAGCACCUCCGUCAUGAAGUGGAGAAACUGAAACGCUGUGAAGUUGUUGAAUUGAGAAAAACGAAAGAGAUAAAUGAGAAACAGGAAGAAGAGCUGUGCCACCUUAGAGAGACGGUGAAGAGGCUACAGGUGGAGCAUGUGCAUUUGCUUGAAAUGACUGAAGGCUCUGACAGCACUGUCACUCCAUCCAAAGACAAGAAGCCACAGGAAGAGGAUAUCCAUCAAGGGUGUCUUGACAAGAUGCAGGAGAGGUUACACAUGCUGCGAGAUCUGACGCAGGUCACGCUGAAGCUGCGGAUGGAGUUCGAGAUGGAGGCCGACCUUCGAAGGAGGGCAGUGGAUGAAUGUGAAGAGCAGAAGAGGAAGAGGACGGAGGCAGAGCAGUUGGUGAGAGACUUCCAGAACCUCUGUGAGAAGCAGGCGGAUGAUUACAGGACCACCGUCAGCAGCCUUCAGGUGGAGAUGAGAGAUUUAGUAACUAAGGUACGAGAGCUUGAGACACAGGAUGUGGAAAGACAAUGUGACAAACACCUGAAGCAGGUGUUGUCUCUGGAGGAUAACGUUUGCCAGCUGAAGCUUGCCCUUCAAGAGGAGCAGCAGAAGACUAGGCAGCUGUCUAUGACCAUGCAGAGGGAAAUCGACCAGGCCAAGGCUUUGGUCCAGUCACAGGACGUCCAGCUUCAGCAGGAUGCAGAAGAGCAGAGGAGGAUGUUUGAGGAGCUGCAGGGCAUCCAGAACAUCCUCAGCACCACCAAACAAGAGCUGCUGUCCCAGAGGAGAAACAACACACAGCUGCAAAACAGCAUCAGUGACGCCGAGCAGGAGAACCUCAGGCUCCAACAAAACACUGAAGACUUGAGGAACAGACUAAGCAGCAGUCAACAGGAGACUGCCUCUCUGACGACAGAACUUCAGCUAGCUCUAGUUAGAUUGGACACCGAGAAAAGUAAAUACAACGACAAGCGGAUCCACUACAAAAACAAGCUGAGCCGAGCCAGAGGGGUUUACCUGAGAGAGACGGGGUGGCGUGACGAAAAAAUAAAAGACCUGGACAAAGAGAUUUUUAUUCUGAGGAAACAGGAGGAAAAGACGGCACACAUGAUGAAGACGGUCACAUCUGAAAAUGAGAGUCUGCUUCAGAAGAACAGACAGCUUCUUUUACAGCUGCAUGACUUUGAAGAGGCACAGAAAAAUGCUUCGGAUGCGAUUUCCACCAUGCAGAUGAGGAUGAAUUUGCUUGAAACAGAAAAUGUUCAGCUAAAGCAGACAACAGCACAAAUGUCGGAGCACAUCGAAUGUCUGACGAUACUGGCCGAGACGAACUGUGAUGUAAGUACAUUCCUUUAG